rnacentral:rRNA from 1 species
UGAACGGUGGCGGCAUGCCUAAUACAUGCAGUCGAGCGGACAGAUGGGAGCUUGCUCCCUGAUGUUAGCGGCGGACGGGUGAGUAACACGUGGGUAACCUGCCUGUAAGACUGGGAUAACUCCGGGAAACCGGGGCUAAUACCGGAUGGUUGUUUGAACCGCAUGGUUCAAACAUAAAAGGUGGCUUCGGCUACCACUUACAGAUGGACCCGCGGCGCAUUAGCUAGUUGGUGAGGUAACGGCUCACCAAGGCGACGAUGCGUAGCCGACCUGAGAGGGUGAUCGGCCACACUGGGACUGAGACACGGCCCAGACUCCUACGGGAGGCAGCAGUAGGGAAUCUUCCGCAAUGGACGAAAGUCUGACGGAGCAACGCCGCGUGAGUGAUGAAGGUUUUCGGAUCGUAAAGCUCUGUUGUUAGGGAAGAACAAGUGCCGUUCAAAUAGGGCGGCACCUUGACGGUACCUAACCAGAAAGCCACGGCUAACUACGUGCCAGCAGCCGCGGUAAUACGUAGGUGGCAAGCGUUGUCCGGAAUUAUUGGGCGUAAAGGGCUCGCAGGCGGUU